UACAGAGGGUGCGAGCGUUAAUCGGAAUUACUGGGCGUAAAGCGCGCGUAGGCGGCUUUUCAAGUCGGAUGUGAAAUCCCCGGGCUUAACCUGGGAACUGCAUUCGAGACUGUCUAGCUAGAGUAUGGGAGAGGGAAGUGGAAUUUCAGGUGUAGCGGUGAAAUGCGUAGAUAUCUGAAGGAACAUCAGUGGCGAAAGCGACUUCCUGGACCAAUACUGACGCUCAUGUGCGAAAGCGUGGGGAGCAAACAG
rnacentral:rRNA from 1 species